CCCAGGCACUCUAUUUUAGUGAAUGAACUCUGAGAUUAACUAUAUCAUAUAUGCAAAUAAGCACAACCAUAGCAUAUGUUAGGUAAUAUACAUUUGCAUGUAUGUAGUGUCUGUGUGUGUGCACACACAUGUAUCACUUACUUUCUAUUGCUGGGAUAAAACACCAUGACCAGAAGCAACUUACAGAAGGAAGAGUUAAUCUGGAAUUACUGUUCCUGAGGGAGAGUCCACCAGGGUCCGGAGGCAUGGCAGCAGGUAGGUAGGCUAGGAAGUUGAGAUAUCACAUCUCCAUCCACAAGCAGGAAGCAGAGUUUGAGCAAGAAGUACGGUGAGUCUAUAAGCACUUAGAGCCUGCCCCCAGCAAAGCUGAACCUCCUAAAGGUUCUGAAGCACACCCCAAUCCACACACACCCCAACACACACCCCAAUACACACACACCCCAAUACACACACGCCCCAAUCCACACACACCCCAAUACACACACACCCCAACACACACCCCAAUACACACACCCCAACACACACCCCAAUACACACACACCCCAA
rnacentral:lncRNA from 1 species